rnacentral:lncRNA from 1 species
GCACCGGGACCUCGUGGAUUCCCAGGUCGUGGUAUUCCUGGACCUCCUGGUCCUCCAGGGGGGGCAGGACUUCCGGGAGAGCUUGGCCGUGUUGGACCAAUUGGCGACCCUGGGAGAAGAGGACCACCUGGCCCCCCUGGCCCCCCGGGACCCAGCGGAACAAUUGGCUUUCAUGAUGGAGAUCCAUUGUGUCCCAAUUCCUGCCCACCAGGUCGCUCUGGAUAUCCAGGCCUGCCAGGCAUGAGGGGUCAUAAAGGGGCUAAAGGAGAGGUUGGUGAACCUGGAAGACAAGGUCACAAGGUAAGGACAGGAAUAUUUAGUACAUUUUGAUUCUGAGGUGUGACCCUUUUUAUUAUAAGGAAUUAAAAGGAAUAAUAAAUCAUGAUAUUUCACUCUUCCUUUUCCAAUGGCAAUUGACAAGUUCUGUAGAUACAUAAAUAUUCCGACAAAGCAUCAUAUCUAACAUUGUUCAAUUACCAAAAAAACCCCAAAACAAAGAAAGCACCACACAUUUUCAUUACCCCUUGCUUUCCUUUUCAAAUCAGUCACACUCAGCUCUUUUCCUGAUGCUUUUCGUAGUUAAAUGUUAUUCAAGCUAGUCUUUCCACUCCACUAAACAAAAUUUUAUGACAAGUGUAAAAUUUUAUGGCAAGUGUUGCUGAGACUAGCAAACAGAGAAGUUGGUAAUUGGUUUAUAGCUUCUCGUCUUAAGUUCUGACAUAAUUUAUCUGUUUAUUUCUUAUCUCAUUUUGAAAUAUCUUAGAUUUUGAGUAAUUUGGAAGUUAGCAAUAGCAUUAACAUUAUUAUCUGGGUGGAAAUUUUGAAUCCACAGUAUAAUUGGCAAUGGGAAUGGCAUGUCCUACAGAAAAACCAAGACUGAAAUUAAAACUCAGGUGACCUAUUUACUCUUUUUAAUCCAGUAGGAUGAAAUUGCUUUAGAGAAACUAAGGAUUUGACUUCUUAUGUAGUAGAAUUUUUGUCCAUGUUAAUUCCAUAAUAUUUUGUAGUCAACCUGUUCUUAUUAGUGCAGUACCUCUAGACUUUGUCAAAUAUGUCUUCCUACAUAUUUUAUUUUCUACACUUUUAUUGGGUGGCAGAAGAUUAGUCUUUUUCUUUUGAAGUUAAGAGCUUGAGAGGCAAUUUAUUAAUACCUUCAGUCAUUAAUAUUCUUGAACUCCUUAGGUA